rnacentral:rRNA from 1 species
CGGUAACAGGGAGCUUGCUCCGCUGACGAGUGGCGAACGGGUGAGUAAUACAUCGGAACGUGCCCAGUAAUGGGGGAUAGCUCGGCGAAAGCCGGAUUAAUACCGCAUACGCCCUGAGGGGGAAAGUGGGGGACCGCAAGGCCUCACGUUAUUGGAGCGGCCGAUGGCUGAUUAGCUAGUUGGUAGGGUAAAGGCCUACCAAGGCGACGAUCAGUAGCUGGUCUGAGAGGACGAUCAGCCACACUGGGACUGAGACACGGCCCAGACUCCUACGGGAGGCAGCAGUGGGGAAUUUUGGACAAUGGGGGAAACCCUGAUCCAGCAAUGCCGCGUGUGCGAAGAAGGCCUUCGGGUUGUAAAGCACUUUUGUCAGGGAAGAAAUCCUUUGGGCUAAUACCCUAGGGGGAUGACGGUACCUGAAGAAUAAGCACCGGCUAACUACGUGCCAGCAGCCGCGGUAAUACGUAGGGUGCAAGCGUUAAUCGGAAUUACUGGGCGUAAAGCGUGCGCAGGCGGUUGUGUAAGACAGGUGUGAAAUCCCCGGGCUUAACCUGGGAAUUGCAUUUGUGACUGCACGACUAGAGUGUGUCAGAGGGGGGUGGAAUUCCACGUGUAGCAGUGAAAUGCGUAGAUAUGUGGAGGAACACCAAUGGCGAAGGCAGCCCCCUGGGAUAACACUGACGCUCAUGCACGAAAGCGUNNGAGCAAACAGGAUUAGAUACCCUGGUAGUCCACGCCCUAAACGAUGUCAACUAGUUGUUGGGGAUUUACUUCCUUGGUAACGUAGCUAACGCGUGAAGUUGACCGCCUGGGGAGUACGGCCGCAAGGUUAAAACUCAAAGGAAUUGACGGGGACCCGCACAAGCGGUGGAUGAUGUGGAUUAAUUCGAUGCAACGCGAAAAACCUUACCUACCCUUGACAUGG